CGGAACCGUGUCCAGUCCCAGUCUCACGCGCAAAAGAGAGGAAAUUUUACCUAAGAAUUGAAAGCGUUGACUUCAAGUCCUGGGAUUCAACUAAAGUCACCAGUCAGCGUACUUCUUAAGGCAGAAGGCGUAGCUUUCACUUAUCACAGAAGUUGAAAGAGCUAAAAAAAUGUCAAGUUCUGCGAACGAAGAUCAAGAACAGAGG